UACGUAGGGUCCGAGCGUUGUCCGGAUUUAUUGGGCGUAAAGAGCUCGUAGGCGGUUCCGUAAGUCAGAUGUGAAAACUCAGGGCUCAACCCGGAGACGCCAUCUGAUACUGCGGUGACUGGAGUCUGGUAGGGGAACACGGAAUUCCUGGUGUAGCGGUGAAAUGCGCAGAUAUCAGGAGGAACACCGAUGGCGAAGGCAGUGUUCUUGGCCAGUACUGACGCUGAGGAGCGAAAGCGUGGGGAGCAAACAGG
rnacentral:rRNA from 1 species